AACAGGGGCCGAUACGUUUCCGAUACGCGAUGGUUCGUAUCACUGCCGGCUUGCUCCUCCUCCUCAUCGCCGCGCCGAUCCUCGCCACCGCUUCUCGCCUCGAUCCCCUGAUCCAGCUCCCGUCCGCCCGCGUCAGCGAUGACGACGCCGUUGGGACGCGGUGGGCCGUCCUCAUCGCCGGAUCGUCGGGAUACUGGAACUACCGUCAUCAGGCUGAUAUCUGCCAUGCGUAUCAAAUCAUGAAAGCUGGUGGGCUGAAAGAUGAAAACAUCAUUGUUUUCAUGUAUGAUGAUAUUGCUUACAACGAGGAAAACCCCAGACGUGGGAUCAUAAUUAACCAUCCACAGGGAGGAGAUGUAUAUGCUGGAGUUCCCAAGGAUUACACCGGAGAUGAUGUCACUGUUAACAACUUUUUUGCUGUCCUCCUCGGAGACAAAUCAGCUGUGUCCGGGGGAAGCGGAAAGGUUGUUGAUAGUGGUCCGAAUGAUCAUAUUUUCAUAUUCUACUCCGAUCAUGGUGGACCUGGUGUUCUUGGAAUGCCAACCUAUCCUUACCUUUAUGCCGACGACUUGGUAGCUGUUUUGAA
rnacentral:misc_RNA from 1 species